CAGGUAGACCCAAUUUGUUUGCUGGCUUCCAUGGCUGCAAUACGCUGUGUUCUUCACCAACUGGCAACCCGUGGUAGACGGUCAGUGGGCGGAGUCACACAGACCAAAACAAAAACAGACAUUCCAACACUGAGCACACAAUUCAAAGAAGAAUAACUGGCUGUAGCAUUGUUAUUGUUUUGUUUGUUUGAUUGUUUGUUUGUUUUGUUUUUGGAGAAAUAAGCCUGUGAACUUUAUUUUUAUUUAUUAUUAUGAUUCAGUACAGUCAGAAAAUAACAUACAGCACCUUUAAGUUUUUCUCAUCCAAUUCUUUUAAAGGAAACUUUAUGAGAAAAAUCUGAGACAAAGUACAACAUUUCAAACUGAUAACUCAAUUAUGUCUUCAAAACAAAAAUAAAUCCUUAUGAUUUUUGAGGAGUGCUGGUCUGGAUCAUCAUUUGGGCAAAGCCAUCUGAAGCUGGUGGUGGGUGGGGAUGAAGAAAGCUGUGAAGUCAAGGCUUUCAAAGGGUCUCCAUGCUGAGAGUCACUCUGUCGGGAGGCUCUUGGAUGAGAGGUUUCGAUCCUGCUCCUGGAGAUGCGUCUUCCUGCAGAGUUUAUCUCCAGUUCUGCUCCAAACACACCUGUCUGUGAUUUAGAAGUGAACUCAAAGACAUUGCGGAACUGGUUCAGCUGUGUUUGAUACGAACUGAAAGUAAUGGUAGAGGAUUACGAAUUUCCAACUUCCUUUUCGCAAAAUUGCUAUAAAGUCAAUAGAUUAAGAUUAUUAUGGUUCCCUUUUGGUUAGAUAUUGUAACUACAUCAUGCACCUUCCAUUCUGUUUUGGUCUGUUGCCAGGGUGUUGCUAUGUUGUUGACAGGCUGUUGCUAUGCAUUUGUUAGGAUGUUUUGGUUAGUUUCCAAGGUGUUGCUGUGCAGUUGCUUAGCUUCUAUUUCCACUCCGCUUUGGUCGCUGUCCAAACUUCCAGAGGGACUCGACUGCUGCCAAAAUGCAGAGUGCUAUUUCCACAUCUCCAUCCCACACUGCAAAGGGUCAUGGGAGAUCCUGCUUUCCCCGUCUGUCAGUUGAUGUGGCCUGGCUCAGAAACAUUUCACUUGCCAUUACAGCUCCUGGCUCCAGAGAGUGUAUCUAUUUUCUAUCAAUCACACACAGAUCUAUAGCAAAUGAUCUGUGAAUUUGAUUCAAACUGUAGGUUGUUUAAUGAGAAUAAAUAUGGGAGGCACUAGAGCGAACACUCUUUUAACAAAUCACGUUUUAAAAUAUAACCUAGAUACCCUGACAACUGCAUGGCAAUGUCCUAGCAACCACUUGAAACACCCUAGCAACUCCCUAGCAACCAUUUAGAACAUGCAUAGAAAAUACUGGAAAAGAUGGGAACAUGCAUUGGUGAGUUUUGCAUUGGCAAGCACCGCUCAUAUUCUCUUCAGAAAAUAUCAUCUUAGUUUGUUUUUCUAGUGUGUGCACUGGGUCAAAGCGACUGUUGCGGAAGCAUGCAGAGGCUGGACACUUUCCAGAAGUCAGCCCAUGCAUCCCUUCACAGGCUGUGAGCUUGAAAAUAAAAGCUGUUGACAAAAUAAUGAAGCCAUAAAAAUAUGAAUAAACAAUAAUAGAACAUAAACAUUUAUGGUGUAGGACUAAUUUACUUGUGCACAAGGGUAAACAGACAUUGUGUCAUGUCAACAAUUUCUGUGUGAGCCAGGGUUGAUUGAUGAGCCUUAAAUAUAUUCAAAUAUCGAAUUGUGUAACUCUUUUUGUGCAUAAUGUUUGACCAAAAAAGUUUGAAAUUCUAAAACAAUAGAUGCAGUGUUGACAAUGAAGACAGACAGCAUUGUUUGUUUGUGGUUUCUGACUUCAAAAAUCAUGAAGAAAAGUGAAGUUGAAAAUAAAAAAUCCUGGAGCGUUUGAGUACAGAUGACAUUUUGUUCUCUAGUGUAAUGACAUUCAGUGUGACUGAAGAGAACAAAUAGUUUUUGAAGGGUUUGCAUGUGUCUGGAGAUUGUCAAAUUCUCUCGCGCCCUCUUGUGGCCAAUUAAAGGUAAUUUUAUUCAUUUUAAAAUUUGGCCUUUUUUAGUCCUUCAGCAGAGCAGAGUCAUUCUCAGAUUUCCAAAGUUCAAGAUUUACAUUUCUGUACAGCACUUGCAUCGCAACUGGAUGGAUAAGACGUUUAUUUGUUAAAAGUAUGAUAAAACAAACAUUACAGUCCAAAGCGCGGACACACACACACACACACACACACACACAGAGAGAGAGAGAGAGAGAGAGAGAAAGAGAGAGAGAGAGAGAGAGAGAGAGAGAGAGAGAGAGAGAGCUGUUUACAUCAUUCUCUUUGCAUAAGAGAUGUAAUAAACAUUUCCAUUUUUAGUACUGCCUUAAUGGAGCUAAUUGAUGUAUGAACAUGUAUUUAAUUUUCCUUUCAAACAAUGCAAAAUAGGCUUCAAACUAAAAGUUAUUCAAGACAUAAAAACAGAAGCUGAGCAGCAGCAAAGACAAAUACAAA
ensembl:lncRNA